GUGUCAGCCGCCGCGGUAAGACAGAGGUGGCAAGCGUUGUUCGGAAUCAUUGGGCUUAAAGCGUGUGUAGGCGGCGGCGUAAGUGUCGAGUGAAAUGCCAGUGCUCAACGCUGGAACGGCUCGGCAUACUGCGUCGCUUGAGGUCGGUAGAGGCGCCUGGAACUCUAGGUGGAGCGGUGAAAUGCGUAGAUAUCUAGAGGAACGCCUGAGGCGAAAGCGGGGCGCUGGGCCGAUUCUGACGCUGAGACACGAAAGCGUGGGGAGCAAACAGGAUUAGAUACCCCCGUAGUCC
rnacentral:rRNA from 1 species